rnacentral:rRNA from 1 species
UACGAAGGGGGCUAGCGUUGCUCGGAAUCACUGGGCGUAAAGCGCACGUAGACGGCUUUCUAAGUCAGGGGUGAAAUCCUGGAGCUCAACUCCAGAACUGCCUUUGAUACUGGAGAGCUUGAGUCCGGAAGAGGUGAGUGGAACUCCGAGUGUAGAGGUGAAAUUCGUAGAUAUUCGGAAGAACACCAGUGGCGAAGGCGGCUCACUGGACUGGUAUUGACGCUGAGGUGCGAAAGCGUGGGGAGCAAACAGG